GGUGAGAUGGCUCAGAGGUUAAGAGCACUGGCUGCUCUUCCAGAGGUCCUGAGUUCAAUUCCCAGCACCC
rnacentral:tRNA from 1 species